rnacentral:misc_RNA from 1 species
AAGUCGUAACAAGGUUUCCGUAGGUGAACCUGCGGAAGGAUCAUUAAAGUGUUUCGGAGCCUGGCUCGGGCACCUCAACUCGAGGUGUCGGUGCCAGCGCCCCCACACGUGUUUACUCAACUUGGUUGCCUUGGUGAGCCUGCCCUCGUGGCUGCCGGGGAUGCCUCACGGCGUCCUGGGCUCGUGCUCACCAGUGGAACAUUUGAACUCUUAUGUGAAAAUAGUCAGUCUGAGCAUUAUGCAAAUUAAAUAAAACUUUCAACAACGGAUCUCUUGGUUCUG